CAGGAUAUAUUUUAAAUAAAGUAUUUUAUUUACACUAAAAAGUUAAUUGUUAAAUUCAGUUUAUCUUGA
rnacentral:tRNA from 1 species